CAGUCGCCGCGGUAAUACGAGGGGGGCAAGCGUUGUUCGGAAUUAUUGGGCGUAAAGGGUGCGUAGGCGGUUUGGCAAGUUUGGUGUGAAAUCUUCGGGCUCAACUCGAAGUCUGCAUCGAAAACUGCCGGGCUUGAGUAUGGGAGAGGUGAGUGGAAUUUCCGGUGUAGCGGUGAAAUGCGUAGAUAUCGGAAGGAACACCUGUGGCGAAAGCGGCUCACUGGACCAUAACUGACGCUGAUGCACGAAAGCUAGGGGAGCAAACAGGAUUAGAUACCCCUGUAGUCCCUGUCUCUUAUAC
rnacentral:rRNA from 1 species